GUGAAUCAGGCCUAGAUUAGAAUAUUUACAUACCAUGUUGUAAAGGAGACUUUCUCUACUUGGCCCUGGGGAGCCAGCAAUUGAUAGUAUUUAGAAAGUUUUCUUUAUUGAGUGUGCACCAGAGUGGCUGAAAACAGAGUGUGACUUACAAGAUCAUGACAGUAGCCCAGGAAGAAGCUGAUGAGUAUCUGGAUGGACAAGCAGAAUUCAGGGGCUUGCUUUAGUUACCUAAUAAGGCAUAAUACUCCCUAAGAUGCAAUGGCUUCUAACGACAAUUGGCUGUUUUCUUUUUUUUUUGUGAUGGGCAGGUCAUUUUGUGUGAUGCUAUCAAAUGGGACUAAGGGAUACUCGGAAGGUUAAAGUUGUUUUAUUAACAUGGCUGGUAAUGGACACAGGCCACUAGCCAGGAACUGCUUGUGCUUUCAUCCAGAUGUCACAGUUCUCCAUAUGCAUGCCCCCCACAAGGCUACUUGGGUUUCCUGGAGAGCACGGUGCUGACUUUCAGAAUGGUGUAUUCUAAGAGUUCAAGAACCCUCGUGCAAAGCCCUCAUCCAGUGGCUGAUGGAAGCAGAGACAGACAUCCACAGAUAUACACUGAGCUGAAAUCUGGAAUUUAGUUGGAGAGAGGGAGGAAUGAAGAGUGAAGGGGUCUGUACCAGGUUGGAGAAACCCACAGGAACAAUUGGCCUGAACAAGGGACAGCACAUCGACUCCAGAUGCUGUUGGGGAGGCCAGUACAAGAUUGAUCCAGACCCCUGAACAUGGAUGUCAAUAAGGAGGCCUCUGCACUCCAGGGAGCCUCUGGUAGUGGAUUAGUAUUUUUUCCUGGUGUGAGAAGGGACUUUGAGAGUCCAUCCCAUGUGAAGGGUUACACUCUGGCCCUGGACACAUGGGGAAGGGCCCAGGCCCAGCACAGGAAGAUUUGGUGGACUUUGCAGAGCCCCCGUUGAGGGCCCUACCCUGCCUGGGGA
rnacentral:lncRNA from 1 species